rnacentral:rRNA from 1 species
CCUACGGGGGGCAGCAGUGAGGAAUAUUGGUCAAUGGGCGCGAGCCUGAACCAGCCAAGUAGCGUGAAGGAUGACUGCCCUACGGGUUGUAAACUUCUUUUAUAAAGGAAUAAAGUGCGGCACGUGUGCCUCUUCGUAUGUACUUUAUGAAUAAGGAUCGGCUAACUCCGUGCCAGCAGCCGCGGUAAUACGGAGGAUCCGAGCGUUAUCCGGAUUUAUUGGGUUUAAAGGGUGCGUAGAUGGGUUGUUAAGUCAGUUGUGAAAGUUUGCGGCUCAACCGUAAAAUUGCAAUUGAUACUGGCAGCCUUGAGUACAGUUGAGGUAGGCGGAAUUCGUGGUGUAGCGGUGAAAUGCUUAGAUAUCACGAAGAACUCCGAUUGCGAAGGCAGCUUACUAAGCUGCCACUGACAUUGAUGCUCGAAAGUGUGGGUAUCAAACAGGAUUAGAUACCCGUGUAGUC